UACAGGGGGUGCAACCGUUGCUCGGAAUUAUUGGGCGUAAAGCGCGCGUAGGCGGCUACUUAAGUCGGAUGUGAAAGCCCUUGGCUCAACUGGGGAAGUGCACCCGAAACUGAGUGGCUUGAGUACUAAAGAGGGUCGCGGAAUUCCCGGUGUAGAGGUGAAAUUCGUAGAUAUCAGGAGGAACACCGGUGGCGAAGGCGGGUCUCUGGGCCGAUAUUGACGCUGAGGAGCGAAAGCGUGGGGAGCGAACAGG
rnacentral:rRNA from 1 species